rnacentral:rRNA from 1 species
GACGAACGCUGGCGGCGUGCCUAAUACAUGCAAGUCGAACGAACCGCGACUAGGUGCUUGCACUUGGUCAAGGUGAGUGGCGAACGGGUGAGUAACACGUGGGUAACCUACCUCAUAGUGGGGGAUAACAGUCGGAAACGACUGCUAAUACCGCAUAGGACAUAGGAUCACAUGAUUCUGUGAGGAAAGGUGGCGCAAGCUAUCGCUAAGAGAUGGACCCGCGGUGCAUUAGCUAGUUGGUAGGGUAAAGGCCUACCAAGGCGAUGAUGCAUAGCCGACCUGAGAGGGUGAUCGGCCACAUUGGGACUGAGACACGGCCCAAACUCCUACGGGAGGCAGCAGUAGGGAAUCUUCCGCAAUGGACGCAAGUCUGACGGAGCAACGCCGCGUGAGUGAAGAAGGUCUUCGGAUCGUAAAGCUCUGUUGUUAGAGAAGAACAGCGCAUAGAGUAACUGUUGUGCGUGUGACGGUAUCUAAACAGAAAGCCACGGCUAACUACGUG